CCUACUGGAGGCAGCAGUGAGGAAUUUUGCGCAAUGGGAGCAAUCCUGACGCAGCAACGCCGCGUGGGUGAUGAAGGCCUUCGGGUCGUAAAGCCCUGUCAGGUGGGAAGAAUGUCCCGGGACUGAACCGGUUCCGGGAGUGACGGUACCACCAGAGGAAGCACCGGCUAACUCCGUGCCAGCAGCCGCGGUAAUACGGAGGGUGCAAGCGUUAUUCGGAAUUACUGGGCGUAAAGCGCGUGUAGGCGGUCCUCCAAGUCUGAUGUGAAAGCCCCGGGCUUAACCCGGGAAGUGCAUUGGAAACGGUGGUACGUGAGU
rnacentral:rRNA from 1 species